rnacentral:rRNA from 1 species
AACGAACGCUGGCGGCAUGCCUAACACAUGCAAGUCGAACGAGAUCUUCGGGUCUAGUGGCGCACGGGUGCGUAACGCGUGGGAAUCUGCCCUUUGGUUCGGAAUAACAGUUGGAAGCGACUGCUAAUACCGGAUGAUGACGAAAGUCCAAAGAUUUAUCGCCAGAGGAUGAGCCCGCGUAGGAUUAGCUAGUUGGUGUGGUAAAGGCGCACCAAGGCGUCGAUCCUUAGCUGGUCUGAGAGGAUGAUCAGCCACACUGGGACUGAGACACGGCCCAGACUCCUACGGGAGGCAGCAGUGGGGAAUAUUGGACAAUGGGCGAAAGCCUGAUCCAGCAAUGCCGCGUGAGUGAUGAAGGCCUUAGGGUUGUAAGGCUCUUUUACCCGGGAUGAUAAUGACAGUACCGGGAGAAUAAGCUCCGGCUAACUCCGUGCCAGCAGCCGCCGUAA